rnacentral:misc_RNA from 1 species
GAUGAAGAACGCAGCGAAAUGCGACAAGUAAUGUGAAUUGCAGAAUUCAGUGAAUCAUCGAAUCUUUGAACGCACAUUGCGCCCGCUAGUAUUCUGGCGGGCAUGCCUGUCCGAGCGUCAUUUCAACCCUCAAGCCCCCGGGCUUGGUGUUGGGGAUCGGCGAGCCUCCGCGCCCGCCGUCCCCUAAAUCUAGUGGCGGUCUCGCUGUAGCUUCCUCUGCGUAGUAGCACACCUCGCACUGGGAAACAGCGCGGCCACGCCGUUAAACCCCCAACUUCUGAACGUUUGACCUCGGAUCAGGUAGGAAUACCCGCUGAACUUAAGCAUAUCAAUAAGCGGAGGA